rnacentral:rRNA from 1 species
UAGGGAAUCUUCCGCAAUGGACGAAAGCCUGACGGAGCAACGCCGCGUGAGUGAUGAAGGUCUUCGGAUCGUAAAACUCUGUUAUUAGGGAAGAACAAAUGUGUAAGUAACUAUGCACGUCUUGACGGUACCUAAUCAGAAAGCCACGGCUAACUACGUGCCAGCAGCCGCGGUAAUACGUAGGUGGCAAGCGUUAUCCGGAAUUAUUGGGCGUAAAGCGCGCGUAGGCGGUUUUUUAAGUCUGAUGUGAAAGCCCACGGCUCAACCGUGGAGGGUCAUUGGAAACUGGAAAACUUGAGUGCAGAAGAGGAAAGUGGAAUUCCAUGUGUAGCGGUGAAAUGCGCAGAGAUAUGGAGGAACACCAGUGGCGAAGGCGACUUUCUGGUCUGUAACUGACGCUGAUGUGCGAAAGCGUGGGGAUCAAACAGG